CGGGUUUGGUAGAGUUUGCUACAACCUGUUCGAAGAGGAGUUAACCACGAUGAGGUUGAGAUAGAGCAUAUAGUAGUAAGGCCUGGUGCGUGUGUGUAGUUUUUACUUUUUAGGGGGCCUUUAUAAUGCAUUUACUAUUUAAGUCCCCUCCCCUCCUCUUAAGCGGGUACCGGAAGAAUUUCCUCUGCUGCAACCACACUUCCUACGACUAUCCCUUUGGCGGACGGCCUUAACUUGACGAGUCACUUAGAGGUUUUAACGUCUCGGGCAGCCUCUCCUAGCUCUUCCUGCUAUCGGACGACGGCAGGUUGGGUGUACUCCACCUCCGAGACGCGUUGCUAAGCCGAGCCUUCUUGGGAGACUAUCGUAAGUGCAAGCUCCUCGAGUUCUCCUACUGGUUCUUGAAGUCCGUCCUGAGCCACGAUCCCCCUCCACCGAAACCGGCCCAGAUGUUUCCCACGCAGUGGUCACUAGAAGCGCUUCCCGAUUGCUAGGUCCUCGGCGACGCUCAACGCCAGUUCCAGGUACUACCUCUGUUGUCGAAGGUUCCGGUGUCCCUCACCGACCGACUCCAGUAAAAGGAACCCGUCGAGAGUGUGGGUUUAGAGCACUUCAACCAGCCAAUAACAACGCUUCUGUUAGUGGCCCAAGAGCAAAUGCUCAACUACGGGGAUCCCUCACAGCUUAGCGUAGACAAAAGCUCCCAUUACGACGGUGACGGUACCAGGUGGUCUUACUUCUAGCGUGAGCCACGCCGUUCCCCCGAACGUAAGGACGUGCUUCGACUCUUCGGUCAGUAAAUGUCCCUAAAGUUUUGUAGGUUGUAUAACGAGCUACUCCUCAUGUUGCGCUUCGAGAGACUGAAGCCCGACCGCUUCCUGCCCGGCCAGCCCCUGUUUAGUGUGCAGAGCUGGGCGUAGUACCCGUGGAUGCCGAUGCGGCGGGGUCUCAUGUAGUACUGUCCCGUGGACUGCCGCUACUCGCUGCACAUGUCGAUGCCCCACCACGACGACCUCGACGACUGCCCCGCGUUCAGCGACCUGUCCAGUUCUGGCCACUCCCUCGUCUGCGACUGCCUGACCCGGAAGGGCGACGACCGCGUGUCCUUCUUCCACGACCCGUAGCAGCUGGGGUCCGAGUGGCGGCUGCUGAUGGGGCACUUCCGGCACGUGUUCUGCCGGUACGAGCGGAUGGUGACGGAGUCGGCGUUGGGGUUCCGGUCCGGCGAGUACGCGCUGUAGCAGCGGUGGGAGCUCGGGGACGUCGUCGUCGUCGUCGGCGUCGGCCUCGACCACCACCUCCACUCGGGCCGGUUGCCGAGGCCACCGUUACUGCCGCACCCACAAGCAACUAGUCUGUAUACAUACGACUGCACAUGCAAGAAAAGACGUAUAUCACUACGAACACGCUUAACAUAAAAUCGUCGACGAUGUAUCGAUGACUGUCACAAGAGAACCAGCCGUGUGUUACGAUUCCCAGAAAGAGAGAGAGAGAGAGAGACGAAGGGUACUUAAGAAGGCCUUAAAGUGUUGAACGUCCUAGCUCUCUGAGAACGCCUAGUUUUACCCGGAGUUCUGAAGUCUCUGUCUCUCUAUACUACGUAAUGUCCUAAAAUAUAGAAAUAUACAUACGUCAAGAGGACGUACAAAGCUUUUUUCUUUUCUCAAGAGAAUUCAUGAGGAAGCCAAGUGUUUAUAUCAAAAACCUAUGAAAUUAUACCUGAUGUAUGCGUGACUUUACCUACUUGUUUGUAUCGUUUCGUAUAGAUACAUGUAGUCUAAGUUUUUUUUAAUCUUGUUGAAUAUAAACACUUGCCUCGCUCAUUGAUCCUACGCCCAAAAAACCUAAUUUUCAGAGUGUGGUACAACGUAAAAGUGACUUUUUCUUUGUGCCUCAUUGUUCGUAGCAGUC
rnacentral:rRNA from 1 species